rnacentral:lncRNA from 1 species
CUUUAGCCAGACGUGGUGAAGCGAUAAGAACUGUGAACUAUAUACUGUAUAGUACAAACUGUGAACUGUGAAUUGAAUUGUGAAGUAUUCACGAGUUAGAGGGGAUCCUUACUGCUCUUAUUGAUACCGGCAGAAAUGGCAUCGCACGAUAAAACUAUUUUAAUAGGAUAUAAACUGAUAGGAAUGAAUAGGAAGUCAUGUGUAACAUU